CGGAGGCGUUUACAAAGGUUGGCUUGAUCCGGAUGGAAAUCGGAUUGGACGUGCAAACGCAGAAGCCAGCUUUACUGCAAGGGCUACCACCCGCGCAGUCACGAAAGUGGAAGUUAGUGAUCCGACCAUUCAACAUAGGAUGGUGGAAGCUCAUCGGAUAAAAGUUACUCUGGGGAUAACAGGCUGAUCGCGCCCAAGCGUCCAUAGCGACGGCGCGGUUUGGCACCUUAACAUAUCGGGGUGCAUUAACAGUAAUGUUAUUCCAAUUCUUUUCGUUUAAAAAUAAGUUUUAGAUAGGUGAAAAACCACGUAAAAAACACGUGGUAUAAGAGACACAAAUUCGGCUAUAACGGUGAACCCGUAGUCUGUUAAAAGCAGACCGGCAAUACCGUGGGAAGUCACGUAAAAUGCUAUCGCAUCACGUGACCCCGUAACGACUGACCCGAAAGGGGAGACUUGUCUACAUAUAAUGUAAAUUGUAUAUGACAGGUAAUACGCCGACUCUUACAAAGUCAAACUGAGAUCAUGUAGAUCACGUCCCGAUUUAAUCGGGAUCUGCUAAAAUCCAGUGUAAGAAGAAGAUAUAGUCUACGCCACAUGAAAAUGUGGAAUCAAGUACGAUGUCGACUCAUCGCAUCCUGGAGCUGGAGAAGGUUCCAAGGGUUUGGCUGUUCGCCAAUUAAAGCGGUACGCGAGUUGGGUUCAGAACGUCGUGAGACAGUUCGGUCUCCUAUCUGCUGUGGGCGUUGAAUAUUGCGGGAACUCACCCCUAGUACGAGAGGACCGGGGUGGACGAACCUCUGGUGUACCAGUUGUGCGCCACGCAUUGCUGGGUAGCUAAGUUCGGUGCGGAUAAGCGCUGAAAGCAUCUAAGUGCGAAGCCGUUCCCUAGAUAAAUAUUCUUUGAGAGUCGUCCGAGACGAGGACGUUAAUAGGCACUAGGUGUAUGCCAAGGUGUACUAAUUACUCGAGCACUACGGAAAC
rfam:Candidatus Magasanikbacteria bacterium RIFOXYC2_FTLL_39_8 rifoxyc2_full_scaffold_3680, whole genome shotgun sequence.